rnacentral:tRNA from 1 species
GAGGGUAUAGCUUAGUGGUAGAGUGCAUGCUUAGCAUGCACAAGGGCCUGGGUUCAAUCCUCAGUAUCUCCA